GUAGGUGGCAAGCGUUGUCCGGAAUUAUUGGGCGUAAAGCGCGCGCAGGCGGUUCUUUAAGUCUGAUGUGAAAGCCCACGGCUCAACCGUGGAGGGUCAUUGGAAACUGGAGAACUUGAGUACAGAAGAGGAAAGCGGAAUUCCACGUGUAGCGGUGAAAUGCGUAGAGAUGUGGAGGAACACCAGUGGCGAAGGCGGCUUUCUGGUCUGUAACUGACGCUGAGGCGCGAAAGCGUGGUGAGCAAACAGGAUUAGAUACCCUGGUAGUCCACGCCGUAAACGAUGAGUGCUAAGUGUUAGGGGGUUUCCGCCCCUUAGUGCUGCAGCUAACGCAUUAAGCACUCCGCCUGGGAGUACGGCCGCAAGGCUG
rnacentral:rRNA from 1 species